UUAAUACUAACUCCAUCCAAAAAUACUUGUCAUCAAAAUGGACAAAAAGGGAUGUAUCUAGAACUAAAAUACAUCUAGAUACAUCCCCUUUUAUUCAUUUUGAUGACAAGUAUUUCCGGACGGAGGGAGUAGAAA
rnacentral:pre_miRNA from 1 species